rnacentral:rRNA from 1 species
GACGAACGCUGGCGGCGUGCCUAAUACAUGCAAGUAGAACGCACAGUUUAUAUCGUAGCUUGCUACACCAUAGACUGUGAGUUGCGAACGGGUGAGUAACGCGUAGGUAACCUGCCUGGUAGCGGGGGAUAACUAUUGGAAACGAUAGCUAAUACCGCAUAAUAUUAAUUAUUGCAUGAUAAUUAAUUGAAAGGUGCAAUUGCACCACUACCAGAUGGACCUGCGUUGUAUUAGCUAGUAGGUGAGGUAACGGCUCACCUAGGCGACGAUACAUAGCCGACCUGAGAGGGUGAUCGGCCACACUGGGACUGAGACACGGCCCAGACUCCUACGGGAGGCAGCAGUAGGGAAUCUUCGGCAAUGGACGAAAGUCUGACCGAGCAACGCCGCGUGAGUGAAGAAGGUUUUCGGAUCGUAAAGCUCUGUUGUAAGAGAAGAACGGGUGUGAGAGUGGAAA